UUGUUUCACAUAUAAUUUUUUUAGUUACUUUUUCAUAUAGAAACAUUUUUAUAAAAAUUACCUAAAACAAUAUGAAGGUAUUAGUUGAGCUUUAUCGUAAAUCAUUUAUUAGAAACUUUUAUUUUGAAAUCCUCAACGAUUCUUGGUCACGUGACCGUUAAUAACAAAAAAUCUGCCAGACCUGUAUGUCCACGUGACUCUGCUAAAGAUCAUGAACAUUUAUAUCGCAGAUUAAACAUAUUAGACAUCUGGUGAGUGAUUGGAUUUACUGCAGGGGAUAAAAUCGACAACUUUUUUCAUCUGUGAUGUGUGUGAGCACUGACACUGAAUGUGUGCUUGUGUCUGAAGGUGAAGGCGGCUGAUCGUCUGGUGCAGGAGCGGGGUCUGCUGGUGACGGACCCUCAGUGGAGGGACAUCGUGAGAGAGGAGAAGAGCUUCUGUCCUCAGUGUGUGUCCACAUGACACUUUACAGUGGAAGUCUCAUGGAUAUGACAUUGCGAAGGUGUUUGGUCCUAAGCUGACGUCGGUGUCUCCGGUGUGGCUUCAGCUGAGACGCAGGGGACCGGAGAGCUUCCACAUCACCGGUCUCCAUGACCACGAUCCCGGCUGGGUCAAAGCCGUGAGGAAGGCCAAUAAAAAAAACAAAAUACCACCUGUCUGUCGUGUUCAGCUCUGGUCAGUCUGGCAUGUUUGGACGGGAGGAUUUUGAGAAACUGGCUCCUGUGGUGGACACGUUUAGUCUGAUGACGUAUGAUUACUCUGGACCGGGCAGGCCGGGUCCGAGCGCUCCUCUGGCCUGGAUCAGAGAGUGUGUGCUGCAGCUGGCUCCUCACAGCGAGUGGAGACACAAGAUCCUGCUGGGAAUCAACCUGUACGGCCUGGACUUCAGCAGCUGGGCGGCAGAUGUUGGAUGGGUGGUCUCUGAGUCCACAGCCCACUGUGGGGGUCUUACAGCAGCUGUCGGGGCACCAGGCGUCUGUCGGCAGAGAUCUGAAUCCAGGCUCCUUCCCUCCAGUCUGCUGAGCUGUUACUGCCA